AAUAAGAUGCCUGAAUAAAGGGCUAUUUUGAUAGAAUAGAUUAUGUAAAUUAUUACUCUUAUUG
rnacentral:tRNA from 1 species